UACGAAGGGUGCAAACGUUGCUCGGAAUCAUUGGGCGUAAAGCGCACGUAGGCGGCCUAUUAAGUCGGAUGUGAAAUCCCUCGGCUCAACCGAGGACGUGCAUACGAAACUGGUAGGCUCGAGUAUGGAAGAGGGUCGCGGAAUUCCCGGUGUAGAGGUGAAAUUCGUAGAUAUCGGGAGGAACACCAGUGGCGCAAGCGGCUGACUGGCCGAGACCUGACGCUGAGACGCGACGGCGUGGGGAGCAAACCGG
rnacentral:rRNA from 1 species